rnacentral:tRNA from 1 species
CAAAAAAUAGUUUAAGUAUAAAACGUUAAUUUUGGGUAUUAAUAAUAUUUUAGUAAGUUUUUUUGA